rnacentral:rRNA from 1 species
ACGAGUGGUGCGAGCGUUAUUCGGAAUUAUUGGGCGUAAAGGGCGCGUAGGUGGUAUAUUAAGUCAACUGUUAAAUUCUUCGGCCUAACCGGAGAUCUGCGGUAGAUACUGGUGUACUUGAGGAUGGAAGAGAGAAGUGGAAUUCUUGGAGUAGCGGUAAAAUGCGUAGAUAUCAAGAGGAACACCAAUGGCGAAGGCAGCUUCUUGGUCCAGUCCUGACACUGAUGCGCGAAAGCGUGGGGAGCAAACAG